GCCAAUUUGGUUCAGUGGACAGAGCGUCAGCCUGGGCUGAAGGGUUCUGGGUUCAAUUCCAGUCAAAGGGCA
rnacentral:tRNA from 1 species